CCUANGGGUGGCAGCAGUCGAGAAUCUUCGGCAAUGGGCGCAAGCCUGACCGAGCGACGCCGCGUGCGGGAUGAAGGCCCUCGGGUUGUAAACCGCUGUCAGAGGGAUGGAAGUGCCAAGGGGUUCUCUCCUUGGUUUGACUGACCCUCAGAGGAAGUACGGGCUAAGUUCGUGCCAGCAGCCGCGGUAAGACGAACCGUACGAACGUUACUCGGAAUCACUGGGCUUAAAGGGUGCGUAGGCUGUCCGGUAAGUCGGGUGUGAAAUACCUCAGCUCAACUGAGGAAUUGCGCCCGAAACUGUCGGACUCGAGGGAGACAGAGGUGAGCGGAACUUAGGGUGGAGCGGUGAAAUGCGUUGAUAUCCUAAGGAACACCAGUGGCGAAAGCGGCUCACUGGGUCUCUUCUGACGCUGAGGCACGAAAGCCAGGGGAGCGAACGGGAUUAGAUACCCUUNUANUC
rnacentral:rRNA from 1 species